rnacentral:rRNA from 1 species
AUGGCGACGCAGGAGGAACCAGGCAGAACCCGCUGGGGGAAGGAGCCUGUGGAAGAACUCCUGAGUCGUUUGGAGCUUCAAGAAGACGAGGAGGGACAAUUUGUCCGGGAAGAUGAGUUCAAGGAGGAAAAUAUAGAGGCCAAGUGGCUUGCGGUCGCGAAGGUGCACACUGAUAAGGGGUUCAGCCCGUCUGCCCUAUAUGCAGAUAUGAGAUCGGCGUGGAAUCCAGCCAGGGAGGUCUGCUGGCACAGGGUUGAUGACAACCUGUUCACGGUGCGGUUCGGAUGUCUGGGGACUAGAACAUGGCAAUACAUAAGGGGCCAUGGCUGUUUAGGAACCAGGGAGUUCUGA